CUCAAAUCGGAAUGGAUUUUUUUUUGACAUGUGCACACUGCACAAAUAUAGAGCUUCUCACUGUUUGCACAUAACAUCCACUUUCCUACAAGGUUUCUUUAUUUGUUUUUUACAGCAUAAUUAAUAUUUAUCCAUUUAUGGAUAAAUAUACAUAUAAACCGCUGUGCCGUGCUGCUCAUAUUUAUCACACAGUAAAAAUGCCCCUCCCUGUGCCCAAAACCGGUUGCUUGUGGAUGACUGGUGGGAGGUUGUCCUGCUCCACUUCACAGUUGCCGAGUGAAAGGAGAGUUUUAUAAUGACAGGACACGCAUUUAUACAUCACUUUAUUCAAAAGGAAGAGCCGUUUGUUCCGUGCGUCAAAUGUCAUUAUGUUAUUUCUGCGUCAUUGCACAUGUGCAGUUCUUUCAGUUUCGUGGUUCAAUCUGAUCGAGUGUUUACAUGCAUGCUCAAUCGUAUUAGAAGAGGAAUAAACCACCCCCUUCAAUCCGAUCGAAAUUUCAUUCCAAUUGAGCUCAAUCGGAUCGAUUAAGGUGUUCAUAUGACCGUUUUUCAAUCCGAUUGAGCUGUCAAUCCGAUUACAAACAGAUUAUUUGGGUACAUGUAAACGUAGCCAUUGAUAUUGGAAACUGCAAACUUGAGUGCAGAAUUUGUAAAAUGAAAAUAUCUGUCAAAUCAGGGUCAACAACAAACCUGCACAGACAUUUAAGAACCGCCCACCCAUGUGUGCAGCUGGAGGAGAGAGAGCAAGCUAGCUUGCCAUCCACUGACCCUGAGCCAAGAACUUCUGCUGCAGCAUCCACUGUCUUGCUGAAAACUCCAGUUCUUCAGCAGCAGCAGCCUCUAGUCCAGUUUCCCGCUAACAGUGAAGAGCCAGGCCCAGUAACAUUACCAAGCACCAGUCAUGAGCCCAACACACCAGAAUGGGCAGGUAGGAUUGUCAUUGAGUGAAUAUAAGAAUUAGAAGAAAUAAUAUUAAUGAAAAGCAUUGGGUUCAUCUGCUCAAUGAAAAAUGCCCUGAGAUAAUUAAUGAUGCCAUUAUUGAUGUUUCAGCUGUUGUACCACAGUGUGGGAAUAAGUAAACAUGAUCACAGUAGUUACAAUAUAACUUUCUAUGCCCAAUUGUAGUUUAUAUAUAUUAUAUAAAUAUACACACACUCACAAGUCACUUUAUUAGGUACACCUAAUCAAUUGCUUGGUAACACAAAUUGCUAAUCAGCCAAUCACAUGGCAGCAACUCAAUGCAUUAAGACAUCUAGAUGUGGUGAAGACGACUUGCUGAAGUUCAAACCGAGCAUCAGAAUGGGGAAGAAAGGGGAUUUAAAUAACUUUGAACGUGGAAUGCUUGUUGGUGCCAGACGGGCUGGUUCAGAAUGGGGAAGAAAGGGGAUUUAAAUGACUUUGAACAUGGAAUGCUUGUUGGU
ensembl:lncRNA